rnacentral:lncRNA from 1 species
UGGCUUUCAGUGCCUCAUUCUUGACCUGGGAGUAAAGAUAGUUUUUUAGAUUCAAAGUCAACCGGGACAAAAGCAACAGGAUGGAAGGUCAGUUCUCCAGUAGUGUUAAGGCAGCUCAACCAUAAGACCUACCUUAUUUUCACAGUAAACAGAGUAUCCAUCAUUGCACAAUGAUGCAGUAUAUAUAAGCAGAGCCAAGCAAUGAAGACAUUGACUUCCAAUUUCCUAC